GGGUCAGUAGGUUGGUCGUGCCACCGGUACGUACUGGUCUCACUGAUUCCUCCUUCCUGAAGAACCGUAAUGCCAUUAAUUUGGUGUUGCGGGGAAACAGGACUGUUACUUUGAAAAAAUUAGAGUGUUUAAAGCAAGCUAACGCUUGAAUACAUUAGCAUUGAAUAAUGAAAUAGGACGAUCGAUCCUAUUUUGUUGGUUUCUAGGAUUGACGUA
rnacentral:rRNA from 1 species